rnacentral:lncRNA from 1 species
GUAGGUGCAAUGAUAAUUAAUAUAUGUUGAUUCAAUUUUUUGAUGUCAGUAAUAAUUAAUUAUCUUCGUCAUAAUAUAAUUACUACUUUUUUACUAGGUGUAUACUAUAAAAUUGACAAUGAUAUUCUAGCCAUAUUAAAGAAGACAUAUGUUGAUCAACUUUUUGUUCAACAUUUACAAAAUACUACUUUCAUUCGACAACAACUUCUUGUUAUGCAUACGACUAUAAGAGGAGGAAUUCCCAAUUUCUGAAAGUCAUGACAUAAGUUUUAAUAAGCGAAGCAUUUGAAAAC